rnacentral:rRNA from 1 species
GUCCACGCCGUAAACGAUGGAUACUAGCUGUUGGGGCAAUCUCAGUGGCUAAGCGAAAGUGAUAAGUAUCCCACCUGGGGAGUACGAACGCAAGUUUGAAACUCAAAGGAAUUGACGGGGGCCCGCACAAGCGGUGGAGCAUGUGGUUUAAUUCGAUGAUACGCGAGGAACCUUACCAAGGCUUAAAUGUAGAUUGACCGGUUUGGAAACAGACUUUUCGCAAGACAAUUUACAAGGUGCUGCAUGGUUGUCGU